rnacentral:rRNA from 1 species
CGGACCGGCGCACGAGUGAGUAACACGUAUGCAACCUGGCCGUGACAGAUGGAUAACCGGGAGAAAUCCCGCCUAAUACAGCAUGACGCCGGGAAGGGACAUCCCUUUCCGGCCAAAGGGGGCGACUCCGGUCACGGAUGGGCAUGCGGCGCAUUAGGUAGUUGGUGGGGCAACGGCCCACCAAGCCGACGAUGCGUAGGAGUUCUGAGAGGAAGGUCCCCCACAUUGGAACUGAGACACGGUCCAAACUCCUACGGGAGGCAGCAG